AAUCACUGUUGUAGGAGAUGACAGUGUUUCCAUAAUCGAUAAAACACACAGAAUGGUCAAAGUUGCCAUAUUGACAUUUAAGUUUUACUGAUUGAUUUACAAUGUCAACUCACUUCUAUCAGGCAAAAAAACAACUCAUCUAAUUUCAUCUCGAUAUGCUAAAGGGUCAUUAUAGAUUUCAGCUCAGUGACACCAAAAACAUUAUCAAGGACUGCAGCUUUAUAGUGGGACUGACUGCAUAUGGUAUGUUCUAGGCUGUAGAUGAGCUUUGCAUAUAGAGUGGGGAUGUAAGAUCCAAUCACAAGAGACAUGGUGACAAGUCUGAACAGGGCCCCAGCGAAAACAAACACAGUAGACAGACAGCUCUAGACAUCCUAAAAUUUUGGAUGAAGGUACUCAUGUCACAAUCCCACCUCUCCUGACACCAACUUUGCUUGCCAUCAUUAAAAAUGUGUCUCUUUCUCCUUGUCCACAUUAGUAGUUCAUGAAUUUCCUUGCUUCUGAUAAAAAAUGUAUUUAAAAACAUUCACGUGACACGUUGUUGUUAAAUUUGAUAUUGUCGACAUGAAUGUGUACAUCGUCUUAUAUAGUGACAUCUGGGCAAGGCCUCUGAGAUGAACAGAUGAGUGACAAACUCAGGAAACAACCUCAAGAUGUGGUUUCACAUCUGAAAGCCCUGAAUUUGUAACGACACAACAUUCAAACACAAAAAGCUUGAGACAAAAGCAAGAAAAAAGAAAAUCAACUGUUUAUGGAAUUUAAACAGUCUUAGUGAAGAAUACAAAAGUAAAACCAGGGUUGUGUUGAAAGCUUAUUCACUCCCAGUGCU